AUCCUCGUCAAAGGAGCACGCUCUAUAUCUCUCUCGUUUGUUCUUCAUCCUAAAUUCUUAAUUACUACUUUGUUGAUAAUCUUGAAUUUUUUCAUUGCACAGUUUUGAUUGUUCUUCUUCUUCAGAUCGGCUUCUCAAACUCGAUUAAAUGACUCGAUUUUAGGGUUUGCAGUUCUUGAUUUCUUCGAUUUCAUGGAUAUCGUUGUUGAAUUGCGUUUUCAUAUGCUAUUUUCGGAUUAUAGAUAUCAAGAAUUUCACAAUUCUUCAAUGGUUAAUCGAGAUUUGCGUUUAUCGAUUUUGCAGCAAGCUGAAACGUUUUAGGGUUCUUGAUUCGAUGCAUGAGAACGGAGAACAAUCAGAUAGCAUGAUUCUUCAAUAACUUUCUUAUGGAGCCUCUAGUUUGUUGUGAUUUGGUGAUCUCUAAUAAAAAAAUAUUCUUUCAAUCUUUUUUCAUCAAUUAAACUUAUUCUUAUUCUCACAGUUUAUAUUUCUUGAUUUCUUGAUAUGUUGGCCAGAUUCUCUGCUCCGUGAUUGCUUAAUACCAUAUUGUAGGCAUCAAGAAUCAGAAUUUUACACGAUCACAUUUUCAUGAAUCUUUUACUUAUCAGUCAUUAGGAAUUAUUAUUUGUAUAAAUUUAUUGUUAUAAUUCUUCUGUUAGAUAAUAGAUAAUUGAGACGUGCAUUGUUGGUUUUGCAGUGAACUGAAGUCAAAAUACUAACUUGCUUCAUAGCAUGGUGCCUCGAGAUUUGGUUUGGCUAUCUUUAAUAAAAAAUUUGUUUCAACCUUUCUUUAUUGAUUCUUAUAUCAUAUUUCUUGAUUUGGUAUUUACUAUUUGGUUCUUUGGUAGAAGAUAUGAAUAUAUGAUUUAAAAUAUUUUAUUCUAAAGUUUGCUUGUUCUUGUGUUCAAUUUUCUUUUGUUUCUUGAUUCCUUGAUAUGUUGAUUUGUUGGCCAGGUUGUGUUUUCCAUGGUUGCUAUAAACUAGAACAAGAGAUUGUUAGUGAUAUAUGCUUUUUUCCUAUUGUAGAUAACAAGAAAUUGACACAAUCAACACUUCUCUUGACUCUUCUUUUAAAUCGGUUAUCAAGAUUAUUUGUCUAAAUUUUGUAUAUAAUUCUUCAUAAUUGGAUAAUCAAGAUACACUUUAUCCAUUUUGCAGUUAUAUUCUAGCAACAUAAGAACGGAGAAUGACACCAAUAGAUAAAUCAGUUUUUUCAUUGAGUUGUUCUUCAUUUUUUUUUGGCUCAAAAUAUAUGAAUUGAAGUUUGAAAUUGUUUUCCCUCUAGCGUGAUUUGUCAAAUUAAUAAAAUUCUACAAAGCAUGGAGCCUAUCAUUUUUGAUUUGGUAAUAUCUAUAAAAUUCUUUUCUGUUUUAAAAUUUCUUCAUCCAAUCUGAGAGUAUAUAUAUGUUGAUUUUUUAUUUACAUUUUGGUGUUUCAGGAGAAGUAAUUAGUGAACAUAGGAUUUCUUCGGUUUCUAUAUCUCCCUCUUCUGUGAUUUUCAUGUGUUGCGUUCUUAUUCUUGUUGAUUAUUUUAUUCUCUUAAUUCUGAAGUUUGAUUGGUUUAUUGUUGGUUUCAAUUUUGGAGUUUGUUGUUCUUAUUUUAAUUUUAAUGAUCUGGUUGUUGUGUUUGUUAGAGUUUCAUUUACGGUUCUUCUAACUCCUCAUUAGUAACAAAUAUUAUACUAUGUAAACUGGUGUUCUGCAUUUAAUUUGUUGGCAGAAUGCUGGAGUUCUCAUUUGAAUUUUCUGUUUUAAGGUGUUUCCAAUUGUGUAUGAGUUAUUCUCUGUUGGCAAACUUCAUUUUCAUUUCAGUUAUUCUCUGUAUUUUAGUGUCCAGUCUUUUUUGUUUUCGUUCCAUGGUUGUUACGUGCGAGAGAUAUUGAUGUGCGAGUAGGGUUGCUGGUUUUAUCUGAAUAGUUCAGCUCACUACUGUUUCCUUACAUUAAUGUUUCUGUAUGACAUCUUUCUGUAUUACACGAUUCUGGAAAAGUUGGGACAACUUUGUGGUAUUGUAUUUGUGAUAUGCUGAUCAGAGGCUUGGUUUAGAGAAUUAUGCUAAUCUUUUGUCUUUUUUCUUCUUUUUUUUCUACAACUAUUUGCCACACUACCCCAUCAUUGUACUGUUUUCUUAUAUUUAGGUUUUUGACAUAUAAUUGACAGUGCGAAAGUUUACUCAAUUCUGAAGAAAGUGGACAGCUUUGUGGGGUUUUUUUCUAGCCGUGAUCUAAACGUCUUGAUAUGAAGGUGUCCCCUGCUAGUUUAGCAGUUUUUGCAUCAGGAGUGUGAGUGUGUAACAUACAAGAUUCUAAGCCUUUUGAAUUUAAUGGGUUUUGUUUCUUCCUUGAAUGUAGAUGCCCAUCUCUUUCUUGGAUAAUCAAGAUAUACACGUCUGUUUUGCAGUAAGCUGAUGACCUUGGAGGUUGCUGUUCUUAUUUUAAUGACCUACUGCUAUUAACGUAUCAAUUUUCUUCAAUGAGUGUCCUUCUUUGUUGUUUUUAUUUUUUCUUGGGUUUGAUGUAAGAUAAAUGAAUUGAAUUGUGAACGUGUUUUUCUGCAGCAUGGUUCUUCAAUAACUUUCUUAUGGAUCCUCUGCUUUUGUGAAAUGGUGAUUUCUAGUAAAAAAUAUUCAUUUCAAUCUUUUUUCAUUAAUUCUUAUUAUUUAUGCUUAUUCUCAUAUUGUAGCCAUCAAGAAUUAUUUCUAUAAAUUUAUUGAUAUAAUUCCUCAUUAGAUAAUAGAUAAUUGAGACGUGUGUUGUCGGUUUUGCAGCGAGCUAAAGUCCAAAUAGCGAUUCUUGAUUGAGUAGAUAAAGAACAGAGAGAGAACAAUCAGAUAUAUAAAUCUUGAUUGAGUAGAUAAGAACAGAGAACAACCAGAUAGAUAAAUCAAAUUUCUUCAAUGAAUCAUUCUUUUUUAAUUUUUAUUUCUUGGCUUUGAUGCAAAAUAAAUGAAUUGAACUUUGAACAUGUUUUCUGCAGCUUGGUUUGUCAAAAUAAUAACUUUCUUCAUAGCAUGGCGCCUCGAGAUUUGGUUAGAUAAUAGAUAAUUGAGACGCGUGUUGUCGAUUUUGCAGCGAGCUGAAGUCCAAAUAGCCAUUCUUGAUUGAACGGAUAAGAACAGAGAAUAAUCAGAUAGAUAAAUCGAAUUUCUUCAAUGAAUCGUUCUGUUUUAAUUUUUAUUUCUUGGCUUUCAUGCAAAAUAAAUUAAUUGAACUUUGAACGUGUUUUCUGCAGCUUGGUUUGUCAAAAUAAUAACUUUCUUUAUAGCAUGGAGCCUCGAGAUUUGGUUUGGCGGUAUUUAGUAAAAACAUUUGUUGCAAUUUUCUUUAUUGAUUCUUAUAUCAUAUGAUUUGCUAUUAACUCUUUGGUUCUGCAGGAGAAGAUGUGAUCUUAAUUUUUCAAUUCUAAAGUUUGCCUGUUGUGUUCAAUUCUCUUUUGUUUCUUGAUUUCUUGAUCUGUUGGCCAGGUUGUUCUUUCCAUGAUUGCUUAAUUUCGGGGUUGCUAUAAACGAGAAUAGGAGAUUGUUAGUGAUAUGCUUUUAUCACCGUCGUUAUCAACAAAUUCAGCAAUCACACUUCUCUCGACUCUUCUUUUAAAUCAGUUAUCAAGAAUUAUUUGUCUAAAUAAUGUAUAUAAUUCUUCAUAAUUGGAUAAUCGAGAUACACUUCUUAUCCAUUUUGCAGUGAGCUGAGAAGUCUUCUAUUCUAGCACAGAUAAGAACGGAGAAUGACACCAAUAGAUAAAUCAGUUUUUUUUUCCCAUUAGUUGUUCUUCAUUUUUAUUUCUUGGAUUCACAUAUAUGAAUUGAAAUUUGAACAUGUUUGCUAUGUCCGUGAUUUGUCAAGUUAAUAAAAUUGUACAUAGCAUGGAGCCUAUCAUUUUUGAUUUGGUGAUAUCUGUUCAAUAUUUUUUUGUUUUAAAAUUUCUUCAUCCACUCUGAGAGUAUAUAUAUGUUGAUUUGUUAUUUACUCUUUGGUGUUUCAGGAGAAGUAGUCAAUGAACAUAUGAUUUCGUCGGGUUCUGUAUCUUCGUCUUCUGUGAUUUUCAUGUGUUGCGUUCGUAUUCUUUUUUUGUUGAUUAUUUGGUUCUCUUAAUUCUGAAGUUUGAUUUGUUUAUUGUUGGUUUCAAUUUUGGAGUUUGUUGUUUUGUUUAAUUUGUUGGCAGAAUGCUGGAGUUCUCAUGUGAAUUUAUUGUUUUAAGGUGUUUCCAAUUGAACAUCAGAUAAUGGUAAUAAUGUUUUGCGAAACUUGACACAUGAUUACCACGCCAGGUUGAAUUGUGAAUUGAAACUGUCUGUUUUCUACCAUGUAGUUUUUUUUACAUUCUUCUUGAUUGCGAAACUUGCUAUGUAGUAUCAAGCAAUCAGGUUCAUUUUGGCAAAAUCUUCUUGAUUGUGAAUCAUUUUACUCCUUUACCCCUUAGGUUUUCCUUACAUUUAGCUUUUUUUACACCUUAGGUUUUCUUACAUUUAGUUUUUUGACAAUGUAAUCUGACAAAAAUUAUCCAUGAUUCUGGACAUAUGAUGUUCUUCACAGGUAAGUGUUACAUGGGUUUGGUGUGCAAUAGAAGCCUCUUUUAUCAAUCACAUCGCACCUUGUUAAUUUUUGUCUGAAGUGGGGAAAGUAGAGAUAAGUGCCUUUGCCCCUUCUGGACUUGUUCUUUUCGUUUCAGUCUUUCUUUGUUGAUUCUGAGAGCAAAUAUUUAUUUUUGAUUUACUAUUUGGUGCUGUAGGAAUUUUAUGAUUCUAAAGGUUUUGUUUGUUCUGGUUUCCUCUGUGAUGACUUAAUUUAAGGGUUUGCUGUUCCUUUUUUUCAUGGAUCUGGUUUUAUAGACAAAAAUUAUUCGGGAUCUACGUUGUAACAUCCUUUUCUCAGAUCUGUUAUCACAUUUCUGUUGACCCUUAUUUUACGGAUAGGUUUCCAAGAUUUUGCAGCGAGCUGCCGGAGAUAAUCGAGAUUGGAUCUAAAACGUUUCGCGAUACUUGAUUCGACGCAUAAGAACGGAGAACAAUCAGAUAGAUAAAACAAAUUUUCUUCAAUGAGUGUCCUUCUUUUAUGGUUUUUAUUUUUUCUUUGCCCAUGAUGCAAGAUAAUCGAAUUGAACCGUGAAUGUUGUUUUCUGCAGCAUGAUUCUUCAAUAACUUUCUUGGGGAGCCUCUGGUUUUGUGAUUUGGUGAUCUCUAGUAAAUUAUAUCCUUUCAAUCUUUUGCAUUAAUUAAACUAUUUUUCCUGUUCAAAAAAUUGAACUUAUUCUUAUAGUAUAUAUUUUUUGAUAUGUUGUGCUCCGUGAUUGCUUAAAUCUGAUAUUGUAGCCAUCUGAUGAUUGCUUCUCAUAAAUCUCCGUUUACCUAUCAGAUAGAUAAAUCAAUUUCCUUCAAUGAGUGUCCUUCUUUAUGGUUUUUAUUUUUUCUUGGCUUUGAUGCAAGAUAAACGAAUUGGACUGUGAACGUGUUUUUCUGCAGCAUGGUUCUUCCAUAACUUCCUUAUGGAGCCUCUGGUUUUGUGUCUCUAGUAAAAAAUAUCCGUUCCAAUCUUUUUUGAUUAAUUCUUAUUAUUUUUUCUUAUUCGUAUAGUAUACUUAUAUUUCUUGAUUUCUUGAUAUGUUGGCCAGAUUGUGUGCUCCGUGAUUGCUUAAUCUCAUAUUGCAGCCAUCAAGAAUCAGAAUUUUACACGAUCACACUUCUCAUGAAUCUUUUUUUACUUAUCAGUCAUCAAGAAUUAUUUGCAUUUAUUGAUAUAAUUCUUCAUUAGAUAAUAGAUAAUUGAGACGUGCGUUGUCGGUUUUGCAGUGAGCUGAAGUCCAAAUAGCAAUUCUUGAUUGAAUGGAUAAGAACAGAGAACAAUGAGAUAGAUAAUUCGAAUUUCUUCAAUGAAUCGUUCCUUUUAAAUUUUUAUUUCUUGGCUUUGAUGAUGCAAAAUAAAUUAAUUGAAGUUUGAACGCGUUUUCUGCAGCUUGGUUUGUCAAAAUAAUAACUUUCUUCAUAGCAUGGUGCCUCGAUAUUUGGUUUGGCGGUCUUAGUAAAAACAUUUGUUUCAAUCUUUCUUUAUCGAUUCGUAUAUCAUAUAUUUCUUGAUUUCUUGAUUUGGUGUUUACUCUUUGGUUCUGCAGGAGAAGAUGUGAUUUUAAUUUUUCAAUUCUGAAGUUUGCCUGUUGUGUUCAAUUUUCUUUUGUUUCUUGAUCUGUUGGCCAGGUUGUUUUUUCCAUGAUUGCUUAAUUUCAGGUUUGCUAUAUACGAGAAUAGGAGAUUGUUAGUGAUAUGCCUUUCUAUAUCAAGAAAUUCACGCAAUUACACUUCUCAACUCUUCUUUUAACUCGGUCAUGAAGAAUUAUAUGUCUAAUUUUUGUAUAUAAUUCUUUAUACAUUUUAUACAUUUUGCUGAGAAGUCUUCUAUUCUAGCAACAGAUAAGAACAGAGAAUGACACCAAUAGAUAAAUUAGUUUUUUCAGUUUUUCAUUAGUUGUUCUUCAUUUUUAUUUCUUGGCUGAUAUACAAAUUGAAGUUUUUAAAAUUCUUCUUUGUUUUUAAAAUUUCUUCAUCCACUCUGAGAGUAUAUAUAUGUUGAUUAGUUAUUUACUCUUUGGUGUUUCAGGAGAAGUAGUCAGUGAACAUAUGAUUUCUUCGGGUUUUAUAUCUUCCUCUUCUGUGAUCAUGUGUUGCAUUCUCAUUCUUUUUCUUGGUGAUUAUUUCGUUCUCGUAAUUCUGAAGUCUGAUUUGUUUAUUGUUGGUUACAAUUUUAAAGUUUGUUGUUCUGCGUUUAAUUAGUUGGCAGAAUGCUGGAAUUCUCAUGUGAAUUUUCUGUUUUAAGGUGUUUCCAAUUGAGUACCAGAUAAUGGUAAUGUUUUGUGAAACUUGAUACAUGAUUAUCACCCAGGUUGAAUUGUGAAUUGAAACUGUUUGUUUUCUGCUGUCUAGUUUGUUUCAAAGCGAUAUCAUGCUAUGUAGUAUCAAGCAAUCAGGUUCCUUUUGGCACAAUCUUCUUAAUUGUGAAUCAUUUUACUCCUUUACACCUUAGGUUUGGAGAAAUAUUUAUUGUUUUUCUUGAUAUUUCUACGAUGAUUUGUCGCGGCAUAAUUUUUCUACACAUGUAUCAUCUGGUGUUCACAGGGUAUGUCUUACAAGAGAUUAGUGUGCAAAAGACAUCUCCUUUCUCAAUAACACUGCACCUAGUUAAUUUUGGUCUGCGAAGGGGAGAAAUAGGAGAUAAGUGCCUUUUCCCUUUGUACUACUAAUCUUCUGUCAACCAAUUUACAUGUAUCAACCAGUUAUGUUGCUAGGCUUAAAGGAUAUCCUGUUAAUAACAGUGGCCCAAGCACUUCUCUUUAUUAGGAGGAAUCUGAAAUUGUCUGUUCAUAUGGAAACACAACGACCUUGAAAUUUGAUGCAAAUUUGUUUUCAUGAAUCAUCAUCUCUACAGGCUGUGUCGUAUACUCUCUACUGUCACUAGGGUAUAGUUUGGUCAUCUCUACUGAGGCUCUUUACAUUUCAGGCUUUGUUUGAUAAUAAUCAGUAUCUACUUUUGGCUAUUUCUUUGAGUUUUCUAUGUGGGUUUGACACGGGAUAUUUGUGGCAGGCAGAGAGCUGAAGUAUGGUUAUUAUCAGAGAGAUGAAGAUUGGUUAUUAUUGGAGAAUGGGUUUAGAUAAUCCACAUUUUUUCCAUGAGUCAUUCUUUAUUUUAAAUUUUGUGCUUUUGAGUACAUGACAUAUAAAAUUUUGUGCUUUGAGUACAUGACAUAUAAAUUGAACUUGAGCUUGCUUUUUUUUGACCAAUGAAUUUGCUUUUUCUGCCGUUUGGUUUGUCAAAAUAAUAACUUUGAUUUGCUGUUGCCUAGUAAAUUCUUUUUGUUUCAAUCUUUAUUGAUUUUGAGAGCAUAUAUUUCUUGAUUUUUAUCCUCCUAAAGGUUUCUUUUGAUUUGCUCCUUGAUGGAUGAACUUCAGUGUUUGCAGUUCUAUAUUCUUUGACUUGCUUCUAUAAUCUAGAUAUCUAGCGAUUUACAUAGUAACGUGAGUUUCUCAGAUCUGUUAUCACACUUAGAAUGACUCUUACUUUACGAAAGGUUAUCAAGAAUUAUUUGUAUAAUUUUUAUAAUUCAUCAUUUGAUAAUCGAGAGAUCCUUUAUCCUUUUUGCAGCGAGAUAUCCUUUCCUCUUUCCAGCCAGCUGUGAGAUCCUGAUACAGUGGACAAGAAUGGAGAAAUUGAAUUUUGAAUAUAUAUUGUUUUUCUGAAGUGUGGUUUGAUUUCUCAAACUAAUAACUUUCUUCAUAGCAUGGAGCAUAGCAUUUUGAUUUGGUGAUUAUCUAUUAAAAUUGCCACAAAUUUGUGGGGUUCACUUUGUAACUAUGAUUCCAGAGAUAGAUAAAAUUCCAGAGAAUGGUUCCAGAUAGAUAAAUAAAAUUCCUUCAAUGAAUCGUUCUUAUUUAUUUUAAUUUAUGGGAUUCAAUUACUAGACAUAAAUUGAAUUGUGUACAUGUUUUUCUGCAGUGUGAAAAAUUGCGACAACUUUGUGGGGUUCACUUUGUAACUAUGAUUCCAGGGAUCAGUGGCUUGGUUUGAAGAAAUCUUUUUGUUGUUUUUUGUUUAUUUUCUACAACUAUUUGUUGCGGCGUAAUAUUUCUGCACAUGUAUCAUCUGUGGUAUUCGCAGGGUCUGUGGUAUACAUGGGUUUGAUCUGCAACAGAGGGCUCCUUUCUGAAUCACACCGCACCUUGUUAAUUUUUCUGUUUGGAGUGGAGAAGUAGGAGAUGAGUGCCUCUUCUUGUACUAUGUGUCUUCUAUCAAGAAAUUUAAAUGCUACUUGGUCCUUUCUCAUUCAUCCUUGUGAUAUAAUUGGUCCUUUUUACAUAUAUCUGUUUCUGUUCCUGAAUAGUUGUCCUUGAAUCGUGUUGCUUAAUCUCAUAUUGUAGCCAAUCAAGAAUCAAAAUUUUACACGAUAAAACUUCUCAUCAAUCUUCUUUUACUUAUCAGUAAUCAAGAAUUAUUUGUAUAAAUUUAUUGUUAUAAUUCUUCUGUUAGAUAAUAGAUAAUUCAGACGUGCCUUGUCGGUUUUGCAGCGAGCUGAAGUCCAAAUAGCAAUUCUUGAUUGAAUGGAUAAGAACAGAGAACAAUCAGAUAGAUAAAUUGAAUUUCUUCAAUGAACAAUCUUUUAUAAUUUUUAUUUCUUGGCUUUGAUGCAUAAUAAGUGAAUUGAACUUUGAAUGUGUUUUCCGCAGCUUGUCUUUCUUCAUAGCAUGGAGCCUCGAGAUUUGGUUUGGCGAUCUUUAGUAAAACAUUUGUUUUAAUCUUUCUUUAUUAAUUCUUAUAUCAUAUAUAUUUCUUGAUUUGGUAAUUUAGUCUUUGGUUCUGCAUGAGAAGAUGUGAUUUUAAUUUUUCGAUUCUAAUGUUUGCUUGUUCAUGUGUUCAAUUUCUUUUGUUUCUUGAUUUCUUGAUCUGUUGGCCAGGUUGUUUUUUCCAUGAUUGCUUAAUUUCAGGGUUCCUAUAAACGAGAAUAGGAGAUUGUUAGUGAUAUGCUUUUUUCAUAUUGUAGAUAUCAAGAAAUUCACCCAAUUACACUUCUCUUGACUUGUCUUUUAAUUGAAAUACUCUUUUUAUCCAUUUUGCAGAGAGCUGAGAAGUCCUCUAUUCUAGCAACAGAUAAGAACGGAGAAUGACAUAUACGAAUUGAACUUUUUUCAUUGAGUUCUUCAUUUUUAUCGAGUUGUUCAUUCAAUUUUUUCAUUGAGUUGUUCUUCAUUUUUAUUUCUUGGCUCGACAUAUACGAAUUGAAGUUUGAUGUUUUCUCUGCAGCGUGAUUUGUCAAAUUAAUAAAAUUCUACAUAGCAUGGAGCCUAUCAUUUUUGGUUUGGUGAUAUCUAUUAAAUUUUUUUUUUUUUUAAAAAUUUCUUCAUCCACUCUGAGAGUAUAUAUAUGUUGAUUUGUUAUUUACUCUUUGGUGUUUCAGGAGAAGUAGUCAGUGAACAUAUGAUUUCUUCAGGUUCUAUAUCUUUCUCUUCUGUGAUUUUCAUGUGUUGCGUUCAUAUUCUUUUCUUGUUGAUUAUUUCGUUCUCUUAAUUCUGGAGUUCUCAUGUGAAUUUUCUGUUAUAAGGCGUUUCUAAUUGAGUAUAAGAAAAUGGUAAUGUUUUGCGAAACUUGAUACAUGACUGUUUUCUCUCGUGGAGUUUGUUUUGAAGCUAUAACUUGCUAUGUAGUAUCAAGCAAUCAGGUUCAUUUUGGCACAAUCUUCUUGAUUGUGAAUCAUUUUACUCCUUUACACCUUCGGUUUUCUUACAUUUAGUUUUUUGAUAAUGUAAUUGACAAUAAUUAUCCACGAUUCUGGACAUAUGAUGUUCACACUGUUAUCACAUUUCUGUUGACUCUUAUUUUACGGCAAAUUUGUUUUAAUGAAUCAUCAUCUCUACAUUCUGUGUUGUAUAUUAUCUACUGGUGCUAGGCUAUAAUUUGGUCAUCUCUACUAAGGCUCUUUACAUUUCAGUCUUUGUUUGAUAAUAAUCAGUAUCUACUUUUGUCAAUUUCUUUGAGUUUUUUGUGUGGGUUUGAGUGUUUGACACGGGAUAUUUGUGGCAGGCAGAGAGCUGAACUAUGGUUAUUAUUGGAGAAUGCAUUCAGAUUAUCCACAUUUUUUCAACGAGUCAUUCUUCAUUUUAAAUUUUGUGCUUCGAUUACAUGACCUAUUACAAUGAGUCAUUCUUUAUUUUAAAUUUUGUGCUUCGAGUACAUGACAUAUAAAUUGAACUUGAGCUUGCUUUUUUUUGACCAAUGAAUAUGCUUUUUCUGCAGCUUGGUUUGUCAAAAUAAUAUCUUCUGUCAACACAUGGAGACUCAAGUUUUGAUUUGCUGUUGCCUAGUAAAUUCUUUUUGUUUAUUGAUUUUUUUUUGACAAGCAAUCUUUAUUAAUUUUGAGAGCAUAUAUUUCUUGAUUUAUGAUCUACUCUUCGGUGCUGUCAGUGUUUGCGGUUCUACUUUCCUUGAUCUGCUUCAAUAAUCUAGAUAGCUAGGGAUUUAUAUAGUAACACGAGUUUCUCAGAUCUGUUGUCACACUUCGAAUGACUCUUACUUUACGAAUAGCUUAUCAAGAAUUAUUUGUAUAAUUAAUAUAAUUCAUCAUUUGAUAGUCGAGAGAUCCUUUAUCCUUUUUGCAUCGAGGGAUCCUUUCCUCUUUCCAGCUAGCUGAGAGAUCCUGAUACAAUGGACAAAAUGGAGAAUGGCUCCACAUAGAUAUAUCAAAUUUCUUAAAUCAGUCGUUUUAUUUAUUUGAAUUUUUGGGAUUUUAUUGCAAGACAUACAUAUUGAAUUUUGAACAUAUUGUUUUUCUGCAGUGAGGUUUGUCAAACUAAUUACUCUCUUCAUAGCAUGGAGCAUAGCAUUUUGAUUUGGUGAUAUCUAUUAAAUUUUUUUCAUUUUCAAACUUUCAAGUAAUUUGUGAACACACAAUUUCUUGAUUUCUUAUGGUUAUAUUUAUCUCCCUCUUACUAAUGCUGAAUUGAAACAUGUACCCGUUUUCUGCAGUGUGUGUCUUGGAACAACAAAGUUCUGUUAGUAUCAAGCAUACAGGUUUAUUUUGUAGAACUUCAUUUUUAUUUCAGUUAUUCUGUGUUUUAGUGUCCAGUUUUUUUUUUCGUUCCAUGGUUGUUACAUGUGAUAGAUAUUGAUGUGAGAGUAGGGUUGCUAGUUUUAGCUGAAUAGUUCAGCUCAAUACUGUUUUCUUACAUUAAUUAUUUCUGUAUGACAUGUACUCUUUCUGAAUUUACACGAUGCUGAUCAGAGGCUUGGUUUGGAGAAUUAUGCUAAUCUUUUCUCAUUUUUCUUCGUUUUUUCUACAACUAUUUGCCACACUACCCCAUCAUUCUACUGUUUUCUAAUAUUUAUGUUUUUGACAUAUAAUUUGACAAGUUUACUCAAUUCUGAAGAAAGUGCGACAGCUUUGUGGGGUUUUCUUGUAGCCAUGAUCUAAACGUCUUGAUAAACUGGACAAGAGUAGAGAAUGGUUCCAGAUAGAUUAAUAAAGUUCCUUCAAUGAAUCGUUCUUAUUUCUUUUAAUUUCUGGGAUUCGAUUGCAAGACAUAAAUUGAAUUUUGUACAUGUUUAUCUGCAGUGUGAAAAAUUGAGACAACUUUGUGGGGUUCUCUUUGUAACUAUGAUUUCAGAGAUCAGCGGCUUGGUUUGAAGAAAUCUUUUUGUUGUUUUUUUUUUCCUACAACUAUUUGCUGCGGCGUAUUAUUUCUGCACAUGUAUCUUCUGUGGUGUUCGCAGGGUCUGUGGUAUACAUGGGUUUGGUGUGCAACAGAGGCCUCCUUUCUCAAUCACACUACACCUUGUUAAUUUUUCUGUCUAAAGUGGAGACAUUACUUUGUUCGGGGAGGUUUACACUAUAAUUGUCUUUCACUGUAUUGUUGUCUUGACUCUUGAUUAUUUUUCAUUCCCGAUGAUACUUCUCAAAAGAUAUACUCUUCGUUACAGUGGCCCAGGGACUUCUCUGUAUUAGGAGGAAGCUGAAAUUGUCUCUUCAUAUGGGUACACAACGAUCUUGCAAAUUUGAUGAAAUUUGUUUCAAUGAAUCAUCAUAUUCUGCCAGCUGUCGUAUACUCACUGGCAUUCCAAGGCUAUAAUUUGGUCAUUUCUAUUUGAGAAUCUGUUACAUUCAGUCUUUGUUGGAGAAUAAUAAAUUAAUAAUCAACAUCUACUUUUCUCAGCUCCUUUAAGUUUUUUGUGUGGUUGUUACAGGGGAGAUGGCCUAUAAAUGUGUGGCAGGUAGAGAGGUUCACUUACGUUUCGUUCAGCAAUGAAAUAAAACUGGUCAUCCCUCUUACUUUCUGUUCAUCCCUGGGAUAAAACUGGUCAUGCCUCUUAACUUUUCCGUUCAGCCUUGAAUAAAUAAAACUGGUCAUUUUAUACUUACAUGUGUUUUGUGUUGGGAUUUGGGAUAAUGGUCCUAUAAAGGUGUUCCCUGCUAGUUUUGCAUCAGGAAUGUGAGUAUGAAGCUAUGUUGCCAAGGUACGGGUACGGUACCCGAUACAGGUGCGGGUACUGGUACGGGAUACAGCAUUUUGAAAAGAUUUAAGAUACGGGUACGUUAAUACAAAAUAUCAAAAUAAUUAUAUUUUGAGUGAAUUUGUCCACCACCUCAACUAUUUUCAUCAAAAGCAAGAUAAAUAAUUAAUAUGUAAUAAAAAAUUAAAACAUUUUAUGCUAUUUUUAAACCAUCUGCACAUUUUUGCCGUAUCCACCACCCCGAAUCAAUCAAAUAACAAUGGAUUUUGAUUUGUAAGUACCCAGCGAGUACCAUGCAAGUAUCCGGUACUGGUGCGUACCCGGUACGGGUACUUCACCAUUUUAGGAGUACCCAUACUAUGAAGAUUCGGUAUUUUACCAUUUUAGGAGUAUCCAUACCGGUACAGGUACUUCACCAUUUUAGGAGUACCCAUACUAUGCAAGUAUCCGGUAUGAUACAAGAUUCUGAGCCUUUUGAAUUUAACGGGUAUUGUUUCUUCCUUGAAUGUAGAUGUCCAUCUCUUUCUUAGAUAAUCAAGAUAUACACGUUUGUUUUGCAGUAAGCUGAGGCUUAGACAUCUAGAAUGUUGGGAUGCUUCAUAGAAUGGAUAAGAAAGGAGGGUCAAGUUAAAUCCAAUUACUUCAACAUGGUGUUUUUCAGUUUUGGGCUUUGUGAUCAAGACAUUCACAAAUUGAAUUGCGAAUCUUUUUCUUUUCAGUAUAUCAAUUAUGAGUUCAUAUAUAUUUAAGUAGUUAUUUUCCUCUUUGGUGUUGCAGGAGAGGUAAUCUACAAACACGCAAUCCCUUAUGGUUCUGUCUUCCUCUUUUUGAUCUUCAAGUUUUGUAUUCUCACUUUUGUAUUGUCACUUUUUUCAAAAAAUAAAAGUUGUGUAUUCUCACUUUUGUAUUCUCACUUUUUUCAGAAUUUCUUGAAUGAACAUUCUUUUUAAAUUUUUAUUUCUUGGCUUUGAUGCAUAAUAAGUGAAUUGAACAAAUUUUUAUGAGAGCAAAUUUUUUUUUUAUUUGCUAUUCAGUGCUGUAGAAAUUUUAUGAUUCUAAAGGUUUUGUUUGUUCUGGUUUCCUCUGUGAUGACAUAAUUUAAUGGUUUGUUGCUCGGGAUCUAUGUUGACAUCCUUCUCUCAGAUCUGUUAUCACAUUUCUCUUGACUCUUAUUUUACGGAUAUCUUUCCAUUAAUUCUUCAUUUGGUAAUCCAGAUAUCCUUUAUCCUUUUUUGCAGCGAGCUGAAAGUCUUUAUAUUUGAACUUCUUAAUACAAUGGACAAAAACUGAGAAUGGCUCCAGAUAGAUAAAUCAAAUUUCUUCCAAUGCGUUGUUCUUAUUGAUUUUAAUAUCUGGGAUUUGAUUUCAAAUAUAAAUUGAAUUUUGAACCUUUUUUCUUUCUUUUUUUUUCUUUUUCUGCAGAGUGAUUUGUCAAACUAAUAAAAUUCUUCGUAGCAUGGAGCCAGCUUUUUAUUUUGGUGAUGUUGAUUAAAUUUUGAUUUCAAACUUUCAAUUCAGAGAGCAUAUAUUUUGUGUACAUAGAUUUCUUGGUUUCUUCUGGUUCUAUUUAUCUUCUCUUGUUUGAUCUUCGUGAGUUUUUUUUAUUCUUUUGUUUCUUAUUUCGUCUUUUGAUUCUAAUGUUUGAUAUGUUUAUGGUUGUUUUCAAUGAUAAAGUUGUUGUUCAUAUUUUAAUUGUCUGAAUAUUGAGCAUACUGGAGUUCUCAUGUGAGUUUUUAAGUUUCCAAUGUUUUCUCAUAAAAUGAUAAUAAUUUGUGGAUUGGUACAUAUUAUCAUCCCGGGUUGAAUUUGAAUUCAAACAGGUAUCUGUUUUUUGCAGUGUGUCUUGGAACAGUAAUGUUGUGUGGUAUCAAGUAUACAGGUUUAUUUUGGCACACUCUUCAUUUCAUGGUGAACUGAUCAAAUCAUAUAGACUCUGAAUCAUUUUCAUUCAUUCUAUAUUUUAGUGUCCAGUCUUCUUGAUCUACUCUUUUAUGAUCUUUAAUUGAGAUUAGUUUAUUUGAUAUGCGAGGAGGGUUGGUGGUUAUAUCUGAAAGGUUUAUCCUUAGGUUUUAUUGCCCUAUCACAUGACUGUUUUCUUACAUUGAAGAUUUUGACAUGAAAUUUGACAGUGUAAAUUUUUUCACAAUUUUUAAAAAAUUGGAACAGCUUUGUGGGGCUCUCUCUCUGUAACUGCGAUCUGCAGAUUAAUGGUUUGGUUUGGAGAAUUAUGCUAAUCUUUUUCGUUAUAUUUUCUACAAUGUGUCACUACCCCAUCAUACUAUUGUUUUCUUACAUUUUGGUUUAUGACAUGUAAUCUGACAGCCAAAGUUAACACAAUUGGGACAGCAUUGUGGGGUUCUUUUCUGUAACUAUGAUCUUUUUAUUAGUGGCUUGGUUUGGAGAAAUAUUUCUUUUUUUUCUUGAUAUUUCUACAAUUAUUUGUCGCUACGUGAUUUUUCUACACAUGUAUCAUCUGGUGUUCACAGGGUAUGUGUUACUAGGGUUUGUUGUGCAACUAAUCUCCUAUCUCAAUAACACUGCACCAGGUUAAUUUUGGUCUAUGAAGUGGAGAAAUAGGAGAUAAGUGCCUCUUCCCUUUGUACUACUAAUCUACUCUCAACCAAUUUACAUGUAUCAACCAGUUAUGUUGCGAAGCUUAAAGGAUAUCCUCUUCAUAACCGUGGCCCAAGGACUCCUCUGCUGGCUGUGUUGUAUACUAUCUACUGGUGCUAGGCUAUAAUUUGGUCAUCUCUACUGAGGCUCUUUACAAUUCAGUCUUUGUUUGAUAAUAAUCAGUAUCUACUUUCGUCAAUUUCUUUGAGUUUUCUGUGUGGGUUUGACAUGGGAUAUUUGUGGCAGGCAAAGAGCUGAACUAUGGUUAUUAUCAGAGAGAUGAAGAUUGGUUAUUAUUGGAGAAUGCGUUCAGAUAAUCCACAUUUUUUCAAUGAGUCAUUCUUUAUUUUAAAUUUUGUGCUUUGAGCACAUGAUAUAUUUCAAUGAGUCAUUCUUUAUUUUAAAUUUUGUGCUUUUUCUGCAGCUUGGUUUGUGAAAAUAAUGUCUUCUGUCAACACAUGGAGCCUCAAGUUUUGAUUUGCUGUUGCCCAGUAAAUUCGUUUUGUUUCAAUCUUUAUUGAUUUUUUUUUACAAGCAAUCUUUAUUGAUUUUGAAAGCAUAUAUUUCUUGAUUUAUGAUUUACUCUUCGGUGCUGUUGGAAUUUUAUCCUCCUAAAGGUUUCUUUUGGUUUGCUCCGUGAUGUCAGUGUUUGCGGUUCUACUUUCUUUGAUCUGCUUCAAUAAUCUAGAUUGCUAGGGAUUGACAUAGUAACAUGAGUUUUUCCAGAUCUGUUGUCACACUUCGAAUGACUCUUACUUUACGAAUAGAUAAUCAAAUUACUUCUACAUGUUCUUUUCAGUUGGAGGGUCAAGAUAAAUCCAAUUACUUCAACAUGGUGUUCUUUUCAGUUUUGGGCUUUGUGAUUAAAACAUAUACAAAUUGAUUUGCAAAACUUUUUUCCUUCAGUAUAUCGAUUCUGAGUUCAUAUAUAUUUUGGAGUAGUUAUUUUCCUCUUUGGUGUUGCAGGAGAGGUUAUCUACGAACACGCAAUCCCUUAUGAAUUGCUGUUUUCAAAUUACUGCUACAUGUUCUUUUCAGUUGGAGGGUCAAGAUAAAUCCAAUUACUUCAACAUGGUGUUCUUUUCAGUUUUGGGCUUUGUGAUUAAGACACAUACAAAUUGAAUUGCGGAUCUUUUUUCCUUCAGUAUAUCGAUUCUGAGUUCAUAUAUAUUUUUGAGUAGUUAUUUUCCUCUUUGGUGUUGCAGGAGAGGUUAUCUACGAGCACGUAAUCCCUUAUGGUUCUGUCUUCCUCUUGUUUGAUCUUCAAGUUUUGUAUUCUCAGUUAUGUAUCUUUUUGUUGAGGUUUGAUUUGGUUCUUGCUGGUUUGAUCUCGGAGGUUGUUGUUCUUAUUUUAAUGACCUACUGCUAUUAACGAAUCAAUUUUCUUCAAUGAGUUGUUUUUAUUUUUUGUUGGCUUUGACGCAAUUACACUUCUCGACUCUUCUUUUAAAUCGGUUAUCAAGAAUUAUUUGUUCAAAUUUUGUAUAUAAUUCUUCAUAAUUGUUUAAUCGAGAUACACUUUUUUAUCCAUUUUGCAGUGAGCUGAGAAGUCUUCUAUUCUAGCAACAUGAGAACGGAGGAUGACACCGAUAGAUAAAUCAGUUUUUUCAUUGGGUUCUUCAUUUUUAUUUCUUAGCUCGAGAUAUAUGAAUUGAAGUAUGAACUUGUUUUCUCUGCAGCAUGAUUUGUCAAAUUAAUAAAAUUCUACAUACCAUGGAGCCUAUUAUUUUUGAUUUGGUGAUAUCUAUUAAAUUCUUUUCUGUUUUAAAAUUUCUUCAUCCACUCUGAGAGUAUAAUAUAUGUUGAUUUGUUAUUUACAUGAUUAUCACCCCAGGUUGAAUUGUGAAUUGAAACUGUCUGUUUUCUGCCGUGUAGUUUGUUUUGAAGCUAUAACUUGCUUAUGUAGUAUCUAGAAAUCGGGUUCAUUUUGGCAUAAUCUUCUUGAUUGGGAAUCAUUUUACUCCUUUACACCUUAGGUUUUCUUACAUAUAGGUUUUUGACACUAAAAUCAGACAGAAAUUAUCCACGAUUCUGGACAUAUGAUGUUCACAGGUAAUGAGUUAGGUGUGCAAUAGAAGCCUCGUUUCUCAAUCACAUUGCACCUUGUUAAUUUUUGUCUAUAGUGGGGAAAUUGGAUAUAAGUGCCUUUGCCCCUUCUGGACUUGUUCUUUUCGGUUUAGUCUUUCUUUGUUGUUCUGAGAGCAAAUAUUUAUUUUUGAUUUACUAGUUGGUGCUGUAUGAAUUUUAUGAUUCUGAAGGUUUUGUUUGUUAUGGUUUCCUCCGUGAUGACUUAAUUUAAGGGUUUGCUGUUCCUUUUUUCAUUGAUCUGCUUCUAUAGACUAUAUUGUUCAGGAUCUAUGUUGACAUUCUUUUCUCAGAUCUGUUAUCACAUUUCUAUUGACGCUUAAUUUACGGAUAGGUUUCCAAGAAUUCUUCAUUUGAUUAUCCUUACAUCCUUUAUCCUUUUUUGGUCAUCUCUACUGAGGCUCUUUACAUUUCAGUCUUUGUUUGAUAAUCAGUAUCUACUUUUGUCAAUUUCUUUGAGUUUGUUGUGUGGGUUUGACACGGAAUAUUUGUGGCAGGCAGAGAGCUGAACUAUGGUUAUUAUCAGAGAAAUGAAGAUUGGUUAUUAUCAGAGAAAUGAAGAUUGGUUAUUAUUGGAGAAAGCGUUCAGAUGAUCCACAUUUUUUCAAUGAGUCAUUCUUUGUUUUAAAUUUUGUGCUAUGAGUACAUGACAUAUAAAUUGAACUUGAGCUUUCAUUUUUUUGACCAAUGAAUAUGCUUUUUCUGCAGCUUGGUUUGUCAAAAUAAUAACUUCUGUCAAUGCAUGAAGUCUCAACUUGUGAUUUGUUGUUGCCUACGAGAUAUACUUUCCUCUUUCCAGCUAGCUAAGAGAUCCUGAUACAAUGAACAAGAAUGGAGAAUGGCUCCACAUAGAUAUAUCAAUUUUUUUAAAUGAGUCGUAAUAUUUAUUUUAAUUUGUUGGAUUUGGUUGCAACACAUACAAAUUGACUUUUAAACAUAUUGUUUUUCUGCAGUGUGGUUUGUCAAACUAAUAACCUUCUUCAUAGCAUGGUGCAUAGCAUUGUGAUUUGGUGAUAUCUAUUAAAUUCUUUUCAUUUUCAAAAUUUCAAGUAGUUUGUGAACAUAUAAUUUCUUGAUUUCUUCAUUUGAUAAUAGAGAGAUCCUUUAUCCUUUUUGCAGCGAGAUAUACUUUCCUCUUUCCAGCUAGCUGAGAGAUCUUGAUACAAUGAACAAGAAUGGAGAAUGGCUCCACAUAGAUAUAUCAAAUUUUUUAAAUGAGUCGUAUUAUUUAUUUUAAUUUUUGGGAUUUGGUUGCAACACAUACAAAUUGACUUUUAAACAUAUUGUUUUUCUGCAGUGUGGUUUGUCAAACUAAUAACCUUCUUCAUAGCAUGGAGCAUAGCAUUGUGAUUUGGUGAUAUCUAUUAAAUUCUUUUCAUUUUCAAAAUUUCAAGUAGUUUGUGAACAUAUAAAUUCUUGAUUUCUUCCUGUUAUAUUUAUCUUCCUCUUUUUAUAUUUUAAUGAUCUGAUUAUUUUGUUAGGGUUUCAAUUGUUUUUCUUCUAAUUCCUCUUUUGCGACAAAUUUUAUUCUUCGUUUCAUUGUGUACAUUCCUAGUCUUUUGCGAUUAACUUCUUCGUUUCACUACUGUUUUCUUACAUUAAUGUUUAUGUAUGACAUGUAAUCUGACAGUGAGGUUUUACACGAUUCUGGAAAAGUUGGGACAACUUUGUCAGGCUCUCUUUGUGAUCUGCUGAUCAGAGGGCUAGGUUUGGAGAAUUAUGCUAAUCUUUCCUCUUUUUUCUUCGUUUUUUCAACAACUAUUUGCCACACUACCCCAUCAUUCUACUGUUUUCUGAUAUUUAGGUUUUUGACAUAUAAUCUGACAUUGAAAGUUUGCUCGAUUCUGGAAAAGUGCAACACUUUUGUGGGGUUUUCUUGUAGCCAUCAUCUAAACGACUUGAUACAAUGGACAAAAAUGGAGCACGGUUCUAGAUAGAUAAAUAAAAUUCCUUCAAUGAAUCGUUCUUAUUUAUUUUAAUUUCUGGGAUUCGAUUGCAAGUCAUAAAUUGAAUUGUGUAAAUGUUUUUCUGCAGUGUGAAAAAUUUGGGACAACUUUGUAACUGUGAUUUCAGAGAUGAGCGGCAUGGUUUGAAGAAAUAUUUUUGUUGUUUUUUAUUUUUUUUCUACAACUAUUUGUUGCGGCAUAAUAUUUCUGCACAUGUAUCAUCUGUGGUAUUCGCAGGGUCUGUAGAAUGCAUGGGUUUGGUGUGCAACAGAGGUCUCGAGAUUUUUUUCUACAACAUUCUUUUUUAAUUUUUAUGCCUUCGCUUUGAUGCAUUAUAAGUGAACUGAACUUUGAACGUGUUUUCUGCAGCUUGGUUUGUCAAAAUAAUAACUUUCUUCAUAGUAUGGAUUCUCGAGAUUUGGUUUGGCGAUCUUUAGUAAAAACAUUUGUUUCAAUCUUUCAUUAUUAAUUCUUAUAUCAUAUAUAUGUCUUGAUUUGGUACUUACUCUUGGGUUCUGCACGAGAAGAUGUGAUUUUAAUUUUUCGAUUCUAAAAUUUGCUUGUUCUUGUGUUCAAUUUUCUUUUCUUUCUUGAUUUCUUGAUCUGUUUGCCAGUUGUUUUUUUCCAUGAUUGCUUAAUUUCAGGGUUCCUGUAAUCGAGAAUAGGAGAUUGUUAGUGAUAUGCUUUUCUCAUAUUGUAGAUAUCGAGAAAUUCACCCAAUCACACUUCUCUUGACUCUUUUAAAUUGGUUAUCAAGAAUGAUUUGUCUAAAUUUUGUAUAUAAUUCUUCAUAAUUGGAUAAUUGAGAUGCACUUUUUAUCCAUUUUGCAGUGAGUUGAGAACUCUUGUAUUCGUAUGUGUUCUUUCCGUUUAUUCAUUUUUUCCAUUGAGUUGUUCGUCAUUUUUAUUUCUUGGCCCGACAUAUAUGAAUUGAAGUUUGAACAAGUUUUCUAUGCAGUGUGAUUUGUCAAAUUAAUAAAAUUGUACAUAGCAUGGAGCCUAUCAUUUUUGAUUUGGUGAUAUCUAUUAAAUUCUUUUCUGUUUUAAAAUUUCUUCAUCUACUCUGAGAGUAUAUAUAUGUUGAUUUGUUAUUUACUCUUUAGUGUUUCAGGAGUAGUCAGUGAACAUAUGUUAAAUUCUUUUUGAUUUGGUGAUAUCUAUUAAAUUCUUUUCUGUUUUAAAAUUUCUUCAUCUACUCUGAGAGUAUAUAUAUGUUGAUUUGUUAUUUACUCUUUAGUGUUUCAGGAGUAGUCAGUGAACAUAUGAUUUCUUCAGGUUCUAUAUCUUCCUCUUCUGUGAUUUUCAUGUGUUGCGUUCUUAUUCUUUUUUUUGUUGAUUAUUUUGUUCUCUUAAUCUAAAGUUUGAUUUGUUUAUUGUUGGUUCCAAGCAUUUAAUUUGUUGGCAAAAUACUGGAGUUCUCAUGUGAAUUUUCUGUUUUAAUGUGUUUCCAAUUGAGUAUCAGAUAAUGGUAAUGUUUUGCGAAAUUAUGAUUAUCACCCCAGGUUGAAUUGUGAAUUGAAACUGUCUGUUUUCUGCCGUGUAGUUUGGUUCGAAGCUAUACCUUGCUAUGUAGUAUCAAGCAAUCAGGUUCAUUUUGGCACAAUUCAUUUCAUGGUGAACUGAUCAAAGCAUAUAGACUCUGAAUCAUUUUCAUCUCAUUUAUUCUAUAUUUUAUUGUCCAGUCUUCUUAAUCCACUCUUUUUAUGAUAUUUAAUUACGAUUAGUUUUUUUUAUAUGCGUGGAGGGUUGGUGGUUAUAUUUGAUAAGUUCAUCCUUAGGUUUUGUUACCCCCAUCACACAACUGUUUUCUUACAUUGAAGUUUUUGACAUGUAAUCUGACAGUGCAAAUUUUUUAAUAAUUCUGGAAAAAUUGGAACAUCUUUGUGGGGCUCUCUCUUUGUAACUGUGAUCGGCUGAUCAGUGGCUUGGUUUGGAGAAUUAUGCUAAUCAUUUUCUUGAUUUUUUCUACAACUGUGUCACACUACCCCAUCAUACUACUGGUUUCUUUCAUUUUGGUUGAUGACAUGUAAUCUGACAGUGGAAGUUUACACAAUUCUGGUAAAGUUGGGACAGCAUUAUGGGGUUCUCUUUGUAACUAUGAUCGUUUUAUCAGUGGCUUGGUUUGGAGAAAUAUUUAUUGUUUUUCUUGAUAUUUCUACAAUUAUUUGUCGCGACGUAAUUUUUCUACACAUGUAUCAUCUGGUGUUCACAGGGUAUGUGUUACAUGAGAUUGGUGUGCAAAAGAAAUCUCCUUUCUCAAUAACAACACUGCACCUAGUUAAUUUUGGCCUAUGAAGUGGAGAAAUAGGAGAUAAGUGCCUCCUCCCUUUGAACAAUUUACAUGUAUCAACCAGUUAUGUUUCUAGGCUUAAAGGAUAUCCUCUUCAUAACAGUGGCCUGAGGACUUCUCUUUAUUAGGAGGAAUCUGAAAUUGUCUGUUCAUAUGGAAACACAACGAUCUUGAAAUUGGAUGCAAAUUUGUUUUCAUGAAUCAUCAUCUCUACAGUCUGUGUCGUAUACUCUCUACUGUUGCUAGGCUAUGAUUUGGUCAUCUCUACUGAGGCUCUUUACAUUUCAGUAGUUGUUUGAUAAUCGGUAUCUACUUUUGUGAAUUUUUUUUAGUCUGCUGUGUGGGUUUGACAUGGGAUAUUUGUGGCAGGCAGGGAGCUUAAGUAUGGUUAUUAUCAAAGAGAUGAAGAUUGGUUAUUAUAGGAGAAUGAGAAGAUUGGUUAUUAUUUAAGAAUGAAUUCAGAUAAAUUUUGUCCUUUGAGUACAUGACAUAUAAAUUGAACUUGAGCUUACUUUUUUUUACCAAUGAAUAUGCUUUUUCUGCAGCUUGGUUUGUCAAAAUAAUAACUUCUGUCAACGCAUGGAGCCUCCAGUUUUGAUUUGCUGUUGUCUAGUAAAUUCUUUUUGUUUCAGUCUUUAUUGAUUUUGAUAGCAUAUAUUUCUUGAUUUGUGAUUUACUCUUUGGUGCUGCUUCUAUAAUCUAGAUUGCAAGGGAUUUACAUAGUAACAUGAUUUUCUCAGAUCUGUUGUCACACUUCGAAUGACUCAUGCAUUGUGGUUUUUCAAACUAAUAAUCUUCUUUAUAGCAUGGAACCUAGCAUUUUGAUUCGGUCAUAUCUAUUAAAUUAUUUUCAUUUUCAAACUUUCAAGUUGUUUGUGAACUUACAAUUUCUUGAUUUUUUCUGGUUAUAUCUAUCUUCCUCUUUUUAUUACUUCAGUCUCUUGAUUCUAAUGUUUGAUUUGUUUAUUGUUGGGUUUGUUAUUAAAGUUGUUGUUUUUAUUUUAAUGAUCUGAUUAUUGAGUUUCUUAGGGUUUUUGUAUCCAAGCAUACAGGUUUAUUUUGGCAAACUUCAUUUUCAUUUCAGUUAUUCUCUGUGUUUUAAUGUCCAAUCUUUUUUGUUUUCGUUCCAUGGUUGUUACAUGUGAGAGAUAUUGAUGUGCGACGAGGGUUGCUGGUUUUAUCUGAAUAGUUCAGCCCACUACUGUUUUCUUACAUUAAGGUUUAUGUAUGACAUGUAAUCUGACAGUGAGGUUUUACACGAUUCUGGAAAAGUUGGGACAACUUUGUGAGGCUCUCUCUGAUCUGCUGAUCAGAGGCUUGGUUUGGAGAAUUAUGCUAAUCUUUUCUCUUUUUUCUUCGUUUUCUCUACAACUAUUUGCACACUACCCCAUCAUUCUACUGUUUUCUGAUAUUUAGGUAUCUGACAGUGAGGUUUUACACGAUUCUUGAAAAGUUGGAACAACUUUGUGAGGCUCUCCUUGUGAUCUGCUGAUCAGAGGCUUGGUUUGGAGAAUUAUGCUAAUCUUUUCUCUUUUUUCUUCGUUUUUUCUACAACUAUUUGCACAACACUACCCUAUCAUUCUACUGUUUUGUGAUAUUUAGGUUUCUGACAUAUAAUCUAACAGUGGAAGUUUGCUCAAUUCUGGAGAAACUGCAACAGCUUUGUGGGGUUUGCUUGAUACAACGGACAAGAAUGGAGAACGGUUCCAGAUAGAUAAAUAAAAUUCCUUCAAUGAAUCGUUCUUAUUUAUUUUAAUUUCUGGGAUUCGAUUGCAAGUCAUAAAUUGAAUUGUGUACAUGUUUUUCUGCAGUGUGAAAAAUUGGGACAACUUUGUGGGGUUCGCUUUGUAACUAUGAUUUCAGAGAUAACCAGCUUGGUUUGAGGAAAUCUUUUUGUUGUUUUUUGUUUUUUUUUUCGUACAACUAUUUGUUGCGGCGUAAUUUUUCUGCACAUGUAUCAUCUGUGGUAUUCGCAGGGUCUGUGGUAUACAAGGGUUUGGUGUGCAACAGAGGUCUCCUUUCUCAAUCACACUGCACCUUGUUGAUUUUUCCGUCUGAAGUGGAGAAGUAGGAGAUGAGUGCCUCUUAUUUUCCCUCCUGUCAAGCAAUUUAAAUGCUUCUCGGUCCUUCCUACAGGCUUGGGCUUGGUUUAGUGCACACUUUCUCAUUCAUCCUUGCGGAACUUGAGUACUACUCUCGCUUAUCUCUUCGCCCUUCCCAAGAUGAGUGAUUAUGAUCAAUUUGAUUACGUUUUACGUGUUGUUUGUUCUGGUGAUUUGUUUCUGUUGGGGGCGACAUUACUUUGUUCGGGGAGGUUUACACUAUAAUUGUCUUUUACUGUAUUGUGGCCCAGGGACUUCUCUGUAUUAGGAGGAAACUGAAAUUGUCUCUUCAUAUGGGUACACAACGAUCUUGCAAAUUUGAUGAAAUUUGUUUCGAUGAAUGAUCAUCUUCUACAGGCUGUCUUAUACUCCCUAGCAUCGCAAGGCUAUAAUUUGGUCAUUUCUAUUGAGAAUCUGUUACAUUCAGUCUUUGUUGAAUAAUAAUAAUCAGAAUCUACUUUUGUCAGCUCUUUUAAGUUUUUUGUGUGCCUGUUACAGGGGAGAUGGCCUAUAAAUGUGUGGCAGGUAUAGAGGUUCACUUACUUUUUGUUCAGCAUUGGAAUAAAAUUGGUCAUCCCUCUUACUUUCCGUUCAUCCCUGGGAUAAAACUGGUCAUGCCUCUUAACGUUCCCGUUCAGCCUUGAAUAAAUAAAACUGGUCAUUUUAUACUUACAUGUGUUUUGCGUUGGGAUUUGGCAUAAUGGUCCUAUGAAAGUGUCCCCUGCUAGUUUAGCAAUUUUCGCAUCAGGAAUGUGAGUAUGAAGCAUACGAGAUUCUGAGCCUUUUGAAUUUAACGGGUAUUGUUUCUUCCUUGAAUGUAGAUGUCCAUCUCUUUCUUGGAUAAUCAAGAUAUACGCGUCUGUUUUGCAGUGAGCUGAAGUUUAGACAUCUAGAACGUUGGGAUGCUUUAUAGAAUGGAUAAGAAAGGAGGGUCAAGUUAAAUCCAAUUACUUCAACAUGUUGUUCUUUUCAGUUGGAGGGUCAAGAUAAAUCCAAUUAUUUCAACAAGAUGUUCUUUUCAGUUUUGGGCUUUGUGAUUAAGACAUAUACAAAUUGAAUUGCGAAUCUUUUUCUUUUCAGUAUAUCGAUUCUAAGUUCACAUAUUUUUUUUGAGUAGUUAUUUUCCUCUUUGGUGUUGCAGGAGAGGUAAUCUAACAUGCAAUCCCUUAUUUUCCUCUUAAAGUUUUGUAUUCUCACUUUUGUAUCUUGUUGUUGAGGUUUGAUUUGGUUCUUGCUGGUUUGAUCUUGGAGGUUGCUGUUCUUAUUUUAAUGACCUACUGCUAUUAAUGAAUUAUUUGGGUUUUAGUUAAUUGUUAAUCUCAUUUGGUUAUUUGCGUAGUUUUGGUAGAGUUAUGCUGGUAAAAAUAAAGGAAUAUUGAGUUAUGUAUUUAUCCAUUUUGCAGAAAGUUUAUUUCUGGAUAUCCGCAGCAAUUUGCAAUUCCAUAUAAUACAGAUAAUGGCUAUAGAUAGAUAAUUCAAAUUUCUUCAAUGAGUUGUUAUUAAUUUUAAUUUUGGGAUUUCAUUGCAAGACAUACGGAUUGAAUUGUGAACAUUUUUAUUUUCCUCAGGUGUUGUAGGUUGGAAACACGUGAUUUCUCCUGGUUUUAUCUUUCUCUUGUUUGAUCUUCAUGUUUAGUAUUCUGAUUUAUUUGGUUAUGGCUUUUAUUGGCAUUCACAAAAAUAUUUAUUAUGAUGCUGUUUUCUUGCAGUGUAGUGUUUUUCAAACAAAUAACAUUCUGUUUAGUAACAAGGCUCGAGUUUAUUUUGGUACUUUUUAAUUGGAUUGUGGAUGAUUAUGUUUGUUUCAUUUCUUUUCUUCCAAUUUUUAUCCUCUGUUAUGCGACUUGGUUUGAAGAAUUAAGCUAUUAUUCUUUCUUUCUUUUCAGUUCUUUUUCCUACAACCCAUAUGUCACAGCGUAAUUUUCUGUACAUUUUCAUCUGGUGUUUGCAGGGUAAGUGUUACAUGGUUUGGUGUACCACAAUUGUUUCCUUCUGUCUCAAUCAGAGUGCUCCUUUUCAAUUUUCCGUCUAAAGGGGAGAAAUUGAAGAUGAGUGUAUUUGCUGCUUUGCACUAAUCUUUGUGAAUGAGAACACAUGGACCAUAAUGUUUGCUGUCUGUGUCAUAUAUUUUCUAGGCUUUAAUUUGGUGGUCUCUACUCAGAUUAUGAAUUCUUUACAUUUUCAGUAUAGUCGUUUCAGCAUCCAUAUUGAGUAAUGGCCCAAGGAGUCCUCUGGUAUUAGGUGGAAGCUUAAAUUGUCGAUUCAUAUUGAGUAAUGGAUCUUGCAAGUUGGAUGUUUCUGCAGUCUGUGUUGUAUGCUUUAAUUUGGUAUCUCUGCUAAGAAUGACUUUACAUUUAGUCGUUGUUUGUUUCUCAGUUCUUUUUGAAUUUUGUGUGGGUGUUACAGGCGAGAUAGAAUAUAUGUGGCCUGUGGAUAGCCAGAGGUACCAUACUUUCCAUUCAGCCUUGGGAUAAGUGAUAUUCCUUUGAUUGUUGUCCUGCUAGUGGAGUUUAUGUGUUUCUGUAUGAGGAGCAUACGAAUAUUCUCAUUGUUGUUAUGCUUUCAUUUGGUAACCACUACUCUAAAUAUGAAUUCUUCAAGAUUCUGUCUUCUUGGGGAUCUAGUUUUCUUCAUUCCUCAAGCUCCAUGUGGGUUUCACAGGUAAAUUGGGACUGUGAUUUGUUGUUGCGAGAUUAUCAAGUUCUGCUCGGUUAUUAAAGCAGAGAUAGCCAAUGAAAUGUGGGAUGCAUAUUAUCAAGGACAUGCUUUGAGCCUUGGGAUAAAAUGUUGUCCUCGUGUGUGAUGUGGUAAUGUUGAUUUUUGUGUGUUGUUUAUCAGUAAUCUAAGUAUUUGGAGAGCUUCAUAAUUUAUGAUUAUUAUGUCUUUUUCAAGAAGAGGAGUUGAAUAUGAUUCUAGAGUACUUCAAGAAUAAAUCGCACAUCAAUAAAUUCCUCGAAUCAGUGCGGAGCAUGACUUUUGAAGGUUUGAUGUUGUUUGCCUUUGUUUCUUUAUUGUUGAGUUCUGCUUGUUAGUCUGGACCUAGAGCACCGUGAGCCUUGUUUUCGAGUAGUUAUUAUCUGGUGGUUUGACCUUCCUGUAUCUGUUGUAAUCUGUGUUAAGGGGGAUUUUCUAUACUCUUCUUUUAUUUGGUAAGAGUGAAUCUCUUCUCCUAAGUGGAUAUUUCUUUGUUAUUGCAGCACAAGAACCCAUCAUAAUUAUACUUCUUUUAAGAACCUGCCUGACUUCAAGGUGAUUUCUACUCGGUUAUAUAUCCUUUGUGCUUUCUUAGUUAUUGCUAAUGUAGGUGGAUUGUCAAUUCAGCUUUUGGACAAAACUAGUCAUUUUCUUUACCUGAAUCUAACACUGUGCUGUAAUUCUCUCUAUCAAGAACCACCAAGAUUCUAGCAUGUAUGGGGACUCCUAUAUUUUUCCCUUUGUGCACAGUAUUGGGUGUGGUUGAGAGUCUUAUCAGAUUGAUUAUACUUCACUAUUUAACAAUAGAGUGGUGGACUCCUAGCUUGUGAAUCUAUAUUGGGUUGUGAAGUGGUGGCCGAGGUUACUACAAACGUACUGAUCAUUUUUCAAUUUAUAUGUACUUUUUUCAGUUAUCUUUUGAUUGGUCGUUCCAGUGAUAACUAGUGUUAAACAAAAUUCUGUGGAAAUCUCUUAUUGUAGGAUGAGUUUUGGGGGCAGCUUGGUUGAAGGAUUUUGUUUCAAUGAAUAUUCUGUGUAAAUAAGUAUCCUCUAUGUCACAGUUGGCACAAGAAACUCGAUAUGGCAUUAGGAGGACAGUUAAAUUUUGUCUCAUUGAGGUGCAAUUUAAUGCGUAGGUAAGUGAAGGUUGGAUCGUGAUCUGAUUUCCCGGAAAAUUGAGUCUAGUCUUCUCAAUUUCUGUGAUUACGCUAGUUGAGAAGUUGCUGCUAUAUAUUAGAAUUUGACCUCUACCAUUGCAAUUCAUGUGCCAAAUAGAACCUUAUAUAUGUUUAAAAAAUGAAGCAGCUAUGUAUUAGUUUGAAAAUACUAGAACACAUGAACCUGAUGUUGUUAAUUGUGUGAAGGAUUUUGGAGGUUUAGUCCCAUAGUCUUGUAAUCAGAGACACUUUAGGGGUAAUUAGAAUGGCUAGAAGAAAUUCAGGUUUCACCUCUUUAUGACA